rnacentral:rRNA from 1 species
CAGUAGCCGCGGUAAUACGGAGGGGGCUAGCGUUGUUCGGAAUUACUGGGCGUAAAGCGCACGUAGGCGGCUUGGUAAGUUAGAGGUGAAAGCCCGGAGCUCAACUCCGGAAUUGCCUUUAAGACUGCCGAGCUAGUAGGUGAGAGAGGUAAGUGGAAUUCCGAGUGUAGAGGUGAAAUUCGUAGAUAUUCGGAAGAACACCAGUGGCGAAGGCGGCUUACUGGCUCAUUCUAGACGCUGAGGUGCGAAAGCGUGGGGAGCAAACAGGAUUAGAUACCCGGUAGUCCCUGUCUCUUAUACA